rnacentral:lncRNA from 1 species
AAAGAAACGAGCAUCAACUUGCCCAUCUUUAUCCCUCAGUGCUUUAGCAGGCCAGAACGGAAAGCCUUUGAGUUUAGCCCAGACCAAAGGGUGAGGAUUGCUACAAGGCUCACAAAACCAAUUCUCUCGUUUUUGGCAAGCAGCUAAGUAACAUUCCGGACAUACUUCAAUUUCAUUCAUCUCAUGCUCACAGAUUUUGAUGAUGACUUUUGCUGUUUGUGUCAAUUUGUGAUUUCCCCCAUUGUAAAUAAUGCAGUUGUGCAAAAUCCAUUUGGCAUCAGCCAAAAAUGCUUCAGUGCAACCGUACAUUUUCUUUUUAACAUUCUUCUCUAAUGUACAAAGGUCCAUUGGAUGAAAGAUAUAUUCUGCAUAAUCUGGGUGUUGAUCCAGUGAAACUGGCUUUUGAAAUGGCUCUGUCCCUGGCUGUUUCAUUUUCUGUAGUGCAAACUUCAGCAAAUAUGAUAGCUGUUCAGUGGUGAGCAUUGUCAUAGCUUUACUCUGUGUUUCUAUGCAUUCUGCAACUGUGAUUUUCUCACAUUCUGGGCAAAACCAAUCCCCCUCUGGUUCCG